GACGAACGCUGGCGGCGUGGAUUAGGCAUGCAAGUCGGACGGUAGGGCUUUAUCGUAAGAUAGAGUUUGAGAGUGGCGAACGGGUGAGUAACACGUAGGAAUCUACCCUCAAGACGGGGACAACCCAGGGAAACUUGGGCUAAUACCGGAUGUGAGCAACUUUUAGUUGUUUGAAAGGUGGCGUAAGCUGUCGCUUGGGGAUGAGCCUGCGUCCUAUUAGUUAGUUGGUGAGGUAACGGCUCACCUAGGCAAUGAUAGGUAGGCGGCCUUAACGGGUGGUCGCCCACACUGGGAUUGAGAUACGGCCCAGACUCCUACGGGAGGCAGCAGUCGAGAAUAGUCUACAAUGGUCGGAAGACUGAUAGUGCGACGCCGCGUGAACGAUGAAUCCCUUCGGGGUGUAAAGUUCUUUUAUAUGUGAGCAGUGCUUCUUAUAUUAACAGUAUGGGGAGAGAGAUAUUAGCAUAUGAAUAAGCAACGGCUAACUCCGUGCCAGCAGCCGCGGUAAAA
rnacentral:rRNA from 1 species